GACGAACGCUGGCGGCGUGCCUAAUACAUGCAAGUAGGACGCAGUUGCGAACGGGGGAGUAACGCGUGUGUGACUGCCUAUUACAGGGGGGUAACUAUUGGAAACGAUAGCUAAUACCGCACACUAGCAGAUGGACCUUCGUUGUAUUAGCUAGUGGGUAGGGUAAUGGCCUACCUAGGCGACGAUACAUAGCCGACCUGAGAGGGUGAUCGGCCACACUGGGACUGAGACCCGGCCCAGACUCCUACGGGAGGCAGCAGUAGGGAAUCUUCGGCAAUGGGGGAAACCUGGCCGAAGCACGCCGCGUUGGUGGAAGAGGGUUUGAGGUCGUUAAGCUCUGUUGUUUAGGGAGCGGUACUUAACCAGAAAGGGACGGCUAACUACGUGCCAGCAGCCGCGGUAAUUC
rnacentral:rRNA from 1 species